CCGUGCUAGACGGGGAACUAGCGGUGCCCUGUAACCCGGAAUCCGCUAUACCGGGGUCGAAAGCUCUCCUGAGGCUCUCGCCUCUGGCCGACACGGCGCGGUAAGUGGUGCUGAAGGCUGGGUCCCAUGCAAUGGGUGGGUGUGAACCAGGUCAGGUCCGAGAGGAAGCAGCCUUAAGCAUUUCGUCCCAUGUGCCGUGGGGUUGCCUGGCUGGAGCCAACUGCCGCGUUCGGCGGCCAGGGACGGUGUCGAAGGAGAGUGCACGG
rnacentral:SRP_RNA from 1 species